ensembl:lncRNA
GUGGAUAUUCCCAGUCUUGAUCAUCUGGGAAAAAAGUAGGUCUUCAGACAGAAAGACAUGCUUCAGAAGGCAAGAUUGCCAGGGAGCGGACAGCUGCUAACCAGCUCACUAUCUUUGGGACAUCACACUGAAUUCAGAGGAGAGAUGGUCUCUGCCAUGGCGUGGGGGUCCAUGAACCAAGGAGCAGGACUUCCUAGAGGAACCUGAUGUGGUCUAAAGAAUGCAAGAGCUACUUCAGACUCAACCAAGUAGUGGUCCUGAUGCAGCUGCUGUGCUGGAUGUGAUGUCACUGCUAGAGCAGGUGGCCCAGUGUUUUGUUGGUUCGAAUCCUGGGCAUGGACAUGGCACUGCUCAUCAAACCACGCUGAGGCAGCAUCCCACAUACCACAACUAGAAGGACCCACAAUGAAGAAUAUACAACUAUGUACCGGAGGGCUUUGGGGAGAAAAAGGAAAAAAUAAAAUUAAAAAGAAAAGAGAGAAGCACAGAGAAAGAGGCAUAAUGAGGAGACAAAGGAAUACUUUCCAAGCAAGGGAACAGGACAAAACCCCAGAAAAAGGACUAAAUGAAACAGAAAUAAGCAACCUACUCAACAAAGAGUUCAAACAAAAUAUCAUAAGGAUGCUUACAGAUAUUGGGAGAAGACUGGAUGACUACAGUGAACUCAUCAGCAAAGAACUGGAAAAUAUAAAAAAGAACCAAUCAGAAAUGAAGAAUACAAUACUGGAAAUGAGAAAUUCACUAGAGGGACUCAAUAGCACAGUAGAGGAUGCACAAGAAUGGGUCAGCAAGCUAGACGAAAGUCUGGAGGAAAUCACCCAAGCUGAACAGAAAAAAGAAAAAUAAAUCAGACAGAAUGAGAACAGUCUAAGGGAACUCUGGAACAAUAUCAAGCAUGCUAACAUUUGGAUUGUAGGUGUCCCAGAAGGAGAAGAGAGAGACAAAGGGGCAGAAAAUUUAUUUGAAGAAGCAAUAGAUGAAGAUUUUCCUAACCUGAGGAAGGAAACAGACAUCCAAGUAGAGGAAGCACAGAGAGCUCCAAACAAGAUAAGCCCAAAGAGGCCCACACCAAGGCACAUUAUAAUUAAAAUGUCCAAAAUUAAAGAUAAAGAGAGAAUCCUAAAAGCAGCAAGAGAAAGGCCACAAGUGACAUACAGAGGAAAGCCCAUGAGGCUAUCAAUGGACUUCUCAGCCAAGACCCUACCAGCGAGAAGAGAAUGGCAUGACAUAUUUAAAGUGCUAAAAGGAAAAAACCUACAGUCAAGAAUACUCUAUCCGUCAAGGUUGUCAUUCAGAAUGGAAGGAGAGAUAAAGAGCUUCCCAGACAAGCAAAAAUUAAAGGAGUUUAUCACCAAGAAACCAGUUCUACAAGAAAUGCUGAAGGGACUUAUUUAAGUGGGAAACUGAUGACCACAAAUAGAGAUAAAAAACAUUAUCAAAAAAACUGCCCAAAAAACCUAGGCAAUAAAACCAAAUGUAAUGGUAAUAAUAUAGUAAAGGUAGCAGAUCAACUACCUGUGAAGAUAAUAUGAAGGUUAAAAGACAAAUGUACUAAAAUCAUCUAUUUCAAUGGUAAGAGGGUAAUGGAUAGACACACACUAAACAAGAGACUAUAUAUGAUUUCAUAAACAUAAAAUGUGGGAGGAGGGGAGUGAAAAAGUAGAGCUUUUAGAAAGAGGUCAAGCUAAAGAAUCUAUCAACUCGAUAUAGACUGUUAUAUACAUAGAAUAUUAAAUAGGAUCCUCAUGGUAAGCACAAAUCAGCAACCUAUAAUAAGUAAGCAAAAAAGUAAGACAAAAGAAAUCAAAUAUAUUACUAAAGAAAGCCAUCAAACCACAAGGGAAGAGAGCAAGAGAAAAAGAAAGGAACAGAGAAGAAAUACUAAAACACCGAGAAAAAAAGGUAAAAAAAUGGCAAUAAAUACAUAUUUAUCAAUAGCUACUUUAAGCGUCAAUGGACUAAAUGCUCCAAUCAAAUGCCAUAUGGUGGCAACUGGAUAAAAAAACAAGAUCCAUGUAUAUGCUGCAUACAAGAGACACACUUCAGACCUAAGACACUCACAAACUGAAAGUGAAAGGAUGGAAAAAGAUAUUCCAUGCAAAUGGCAAAGAAAAGAAAGCAGGGGUAGCAAUACUUAUGUCAGACAAAAUAGACUUUAAAAGAAAAACUGUAACAAGAGACAAAGACAGGCACUACAUAAUGAUAAGGGCAACAAUCCAACAAGAAGAUAUAACACCUUGUAAAUAUCUAUGCACCCAACAUAGGAGCACCUAAAUAUAUAAAGCAAUUAUUAACAGACAUAAAAGGAGAAAUAGACAGUAACACAAUAAUAGUAGGGGACUUUAACACUCCACUUACACCAAUGGAUAGAUCAUCCAAACAGAAGAUCAAUAAGGAAACACUGGCCUUAAACGACACAUUAGACCAGAUGGACUUAGUAGACAUAUACAGAACAUUCCCAAAAACCACAGAAUUCACAUUCUUUUCAAAUGCACAUGGAACAUUCUCCAAGACUGAUCACAUAUUAGGCCACAACACAAGUCUCAAUAAAUUUAAGAAGAUCGAAACAAUACCAUGCGUCUUUUCUGACCACAAAAGUAUGAAACUGGAAAUCAACUACAGGAAGAAAACCAGAAAAGCCACAAAAAUGUGGAGAUUAAACAAAAUGCUACUGAACAAUGAUUGGGUCAAUGAAGAAAUCAAAGGAGAAUCAAAAAAUUCCUGGAGACAAAUGAAAAUGAAUAUAUGACAUGCCAAAAUCUGUGGGAUACAGCAAAAGCAGUUCGAAGAGGGAAGUUUAUAGCAAUUCAGGCCUACCUCAACAAAGAAGAAAAAUCCCAAAUAGACAAUCUAAAAGUGCAUCUAAAGGUACUGGAAAAAGAACAACAAACAAAGCCCAAAAUCAGCAGAAGGAAGGAAAUAAUAAAAAUCAGAGCAGAAAUAAACGAAAUAGAG